AUACGGAGGGUGCAAGCGUUACUCGGAAUCACUGGGCGUAAAGCGCGCGCAGGCGGCUUGAUAAGUUGGAUGUGAAAGCCUACGGCUCAACCGUAGAACUGCAUCCAAAACUGUCAGGCUAGAGUGUGGGAGAGGAAGAUGGAAUUAGUUGUGUAGGGGUAAAAUCCGUAGAGAUAACUAGGAAUACCAAAAGCGAAGGCAAUCUUCUGGAACACUACUGACGCUGAGGCGCGAAGGCGUGGGAGCAAACAGGAUUAGAAACCCUGGUAGUCC
rnacentral:rRNA from 1 species